AGAAGGACCGGCCCAGAGCUGACGCCAUCUACCAGAGACCUCUGUCUAUCCCCGGGUCCCAGGGGCCCGUGCAGGGAAGCGAUGUUUGAGCUGAGACUUGAAGGAGUAAGGGGGAGGAAGAGGGUCUGGUGAGGUCGGAGGAGACCCUCUACACCUUAGUAAGAUUGCUUUAUCCUUAACCGAAGAUGCAUGCAAAGCUACUGAAGGAUUUUAAGCCCAGCAAUCACCGUAAGAGCAGACAUUUAUUUGGAAUUUACAUGACUCUAAGCACUGUACAUGGAAUAACAAUGACAAUAGCAAAUCUGCUUAAUAUGUGCCAAGCACUUUGCAGAUGUGAAGUCAUUUAGUCUUCAUAGCAGCCUUUCCACCAUGUGCAAGUGUAAAAUCCUCAUUUUGCAGAAGAGGAAACUGAGGCACAGACUCUCUGAGGUCGGGGAUUCUACCACAGAGUUCUGCACUGUGCCUUACUGAAACGAGUGCUGGAUUUGCAGUAAAAAUUGAAUUCGAAUUCUACCUCUACUAGGCCUUAUAAAGCUGUGAAGUACCUACUUCAGGAUGGUACAGCUUGUUUAAAAUAUAAGGUGCCCAGAAGAAAAGGGAUCUAAAACUAAAACUCUGACAAAAGUGCAGUGGGCCCAAGAGAAAUUCUCGCGACAGCCUGGAGAGAAUUCAGGGGAGGAUUUUAAAAUCUGCAACCACGGGGACUGUGUCUUCUUCACUGUUACUAUCCUGCUCACAGUACAGUGCCUGGAGCUGAAUGGAUAAAUGAAUGAAGAUGAAGUCAGUGCAAAAGUAAUAAGACAUAAGAAAAUUCAAAGAUUCAUUAAUGUCUAGAAGUCUGGCGGUACCCCCCAACAAGAAAGGAAGUUGAGGCCCCUGAAGAGAAAUGACGCGUCCAUUGUCACACACCACAGUAGUGGUUUUUGUAUACUGUUCCUCAGCAUUCUUAGAUGCCUUGGAGAUCCACCUCUCUUCCCUCUCUCCCUCUCCUCUGCAUUUAUUGAACAUUUAUUAUGUGCUUCCUCAAAGCUUUACAGAAAUUAUCCUACUUAAUCCUCACCACAGCCCCAUUUUACGGAUGUGCAAGCUGAGUCUUACAGCCGAGAGCUUUGUUGAGCUCCCGGAAAAGCAAACACAUAAUUAUAAUGGAGGUAAAUGGACUGAAAGCCAAGUCAAAGAGGCAGAUCGGCUUCACCAGGAGAGGCACUCACUUCUGCAAAGACAGCAGGGUAAAGAGAACUAGCCUCUUGACCUGGACAAGAGGUGCCUACAACUGUGGGCUGAAAGAGUGUGGAGAACUGUUGACACUGCAGGCAAAAAGAAUGUUAUCAAAGUUCUGUUCAAGUCAAAGGCCGGCCACGGAGGCUAAGGAGAGCUCACUGCCUCAAAGAAGAGCCUGCCUGGAGAGAUUUCUUCACGCUACAAACCUCUGUAAAUGUCCUUUCAACGAUUCUGUUUAAAAAAAAAAAAGGAAUAACCUUAGAUCAAAGUUAGGGCAAGAGUUUCCGCAACAGCGAAGCCCAUAAUGCCGCAAGGGGGAGAUUAGAGUGAAAUUUUUACGUGAAAAUGUUUCAAGUAUUUAGAAGCUCUUAUGGAAAUAAAAAACACCACGAUGGACAAAUGAUGUGAAUAAAAAUUCACAGAAGAGGUAGCAGUGGCUAAUAAAUAAGAAAAAGGAGGGUUAGCUUCAUUGAUUGCAUUGAAGAAAUGCAAAAUAGGGGUUGACCCUGUGGCCUAGUGGUUAAGUUUGGUGUGCUCCUCUUAGGCUGCCUGGGUUCGUGGGUUCGGAUCCCAGGCACAGACCUACACCACUUGUCAGCCACGCUGCGGCAGCAUCCCACAUAUAAAGUAGAGGAAGAUUGGCAUAGAUGUUAGCUCAGGGCUAAUCUUCCUCAGCAAAAAACAAGAAAGAAAGAAA
ensembl:lncRNA